GUCUUAAAUCCCAUGACCCUGUGAAACAGCAGCUGGUCACUGUUCCUGGCUUGCCAGGGUCACUUGMGAAGCCUUCUGGGUUCAUUGCAUGGAGACCUGAGUGCUCUGCAACGUUGCUUAGAAAAUGUCUGCUUUUUGUGCAAAUAAAUAUGCAGAGAAUUUGAUGKAGCUGAAUUUGAUGAAGAUGAUGGAGCUGUCCUUCCCUCUGCAAAACCCUGACUUUGAGCCAGCCACAAACUGCUGAGCAAGAGGAAUGCUUGAAAGGAGGCAACUCGUUGAUCUGGAAUGGCUUUGUCUGUAACACACACAUUUUCCUGCAAAAAAAAGCUUCCUGCUGCYCUGGUGAAGUGCCAUCUUGGGGUCCUGCAUUUAAUCCACCUCAGUGUUUCCCAGAUCCCAUUCUCUAGCUGAGCCUGUGAGACUGCUGGGCCCAGKACACAGUAGUCAAACUACGCUCCCUGUUUCUCCCAUCACUACAGUCACAGCAGGAGUCUAUGGACCAAACUURGCUCUUCGAUACAGUCACCCAAACUUGGUGACCUCCAGACAUACCCGUUGUCUCUGAAUGGAGGGGAUGAACUCUGCCCCUGGGAUUUUGGAGUAAGCAGUGGUGUUCCUGGACCUCCUAAGUCUCCUUGGCAUCAAGGCUGUUGGCCAUGUGAAGGGAAUAACUGGAUCAUGGGACAGGUCUCUCUGCCUCUGAAGGCAAGGCCCUGUCUCUUCCUUGCUGUGAGAUAUCAUCUCUCAGCCCCAGCAGAAGACAAUAGMAAAGAUGAAUGAGCCACAAGCUCAACUUCUGUGACUGGAGAGGUCUAUGUUCACAAAUAUUGUGAAGUUGCUCRGGAAUCUUAGUCCUGCUGCCUUAUGCUCCCCAUUUGCCUACCAUUUGCACCGCUCCUACAUUUCCAGCAGAGCUUUUCUUCUGCUGAGAUGCCCAAGUCCUCUUCAUCUGCACUUACAUGUGCAUGCAYAGAGCAAAGCCUAGCAGGCCAGGAAGAAAUGUCAGAGAGAUGCUCAGUGAGCACCUGGAUCGAAGACUGAAGAGUUUUAGGCRGAGAUGAGAGUCAGCCAGGAGGAACAUUUUUCCAAAGUGCUAAAGAAAGAAAUAAUGAAGUGAACUGGGGAUUUAAAGCCUCAUGUGCUUUGAAAGAACCCUGUGUCUCCUUUUGACCAGAGAAACGCAGUUCAACUAUCAGAUGUGUGGACCAGGUAAGCAAGUCCUAGACACCUCACUGUGCCUUUUGCCAAGACCCUGUGAUGUUUCACAAACAUCACAAGAUUUUGAGGUGGAGUUGAGCACUGUUUUGUAAGGGGAGAGACAAGMAGAUUGCCUGGCAGGUAUCUGAGCAGACCUCUGCUACAGCUCAGCCUAUGCUCUGACCCCCAGGCCAGAUUUCUGCCACCUCCUCCAGCCAUCAUUACUGUUCAGUUCGUAUCACCUAUAUGGACUACUUGAARUUGCAGAUUUGCAAGUUAAUGCUUCAGAUUGGGUGUUAUACCCCCAGAAAGGAGAAUAGAAGCUGAUAUCUCUCGUUGCAACUUGCUCCCCAUGUAAACAGGCUCCUACUUUUGGCCCAUGUCUGAGUUCCUCUGGCCAGAUCUCAAGGAAAGUCUCUGUAGUUUUUUGAGGUUUUGUAACAUAUUACUGCCCUGCUGGUGGUGGCAGGCUGUCCUUCUGCAGAGCUUCAUGGGGAAAAACACAGCAUAUCRCAUGGGCAGAAACACAGUGUAUUGCAUGGAACGAUGAAGUAAAGCCCUGGAGAACUGGGAAGGCAUGGGCCACGGGCCUGUCUCUGGCUGCAUUAUGGCUCUGUGAUUUUCUGUGUGUACUGUGAUUUUCUGUGUGUUUUCUUACAUGUACUCGUCUCAGCAAACUCUUGCUGCCCAGUUUUAGGGCACCACGAAAGAGAUUUGGCCGUGAUACACCGAUGGCUCUAUUUUGCAAGAAUACAGAGUUGUUGACAUUGCUAUUUCCACAAAAAGUGUUAACCAUUAAUUAAUUUCCUAACGUGAUCUGCCCUCCCCAAUGCAUCCAACGCCA
rnacentral:lncRNA from 1 species